GUGCCAGCAGCCGCGGUAAUACCGGCAGCCCGAGUGAUGGCCGAUCUUAUUGGGCCUAAAGCGUCCGUAGCUGGCUCCGCAAGUCCAUCGGGAAAUCCACUCGCCCAACGAGUGGGCGUCCGACGGAAACUGCACAGCUUGGGACCGGAAGGCUCGAAGGGUACGUUCGGGGUAGGAGUGAAAUCCCAUAAUCCCGCACGGACCACCGAUGGCGAAAGCACUUCGAGAAGACGGAUCCGACAGUGAGGGACGAAAGCCAGGGUCGCGAACCGGAUUAGAAACCCCAGUAGUCC
rnacentral:rRNA from 1 species